CUUGUCUUCUCAUUCUCUUGCGAGGGUCAGUCGGGGCUCUAAGACAGACGUGGCACUAAGGGCUCGCGAAAGCCUGUCUUAACGUGUGGACUUGGAACACAGUCUUCUGGCCCAGCCACGUCUGGGCCUUGCUGCUGCUGAAGAAAAGCCACUGGCUUUUCUGGAUUCCUGAACUCACAGAUCCUGAUUGCCUGGACUGACUCUAAGCCCAAACCUGAUCCUGUCCGCCCCAGGCUGAUUCACUCUCAGCGUGCACUGUGCUCAGUGGAAAGCAGGCAUAUGCUCAGUGAACAGGACUUUGGCUCUGGGAUGUCGGCAGAUUGAGGACACCCUCUGUGGGACCAUAAACUGUGAAAACAUCAUGGAUGCUGGCGCGACCAUCUGGGUCACAUAAAAACGCCCACAGGAAGAGGCUUCUUUGAUGGAACUCUCUGAAAUCAAGCUACUGUUCAGCUCUAUGUUUCUGAGGCAGAUGCUAAUUUCUGACGUUUUCUAACUCAUGAUUCCUGCCGAAAGCUGCAAGUUAGGGGAGGGCGCAUCACAGACGGUGACCCCUCUGGUCACUCCUAAUAGACGGACUCUUGACCCCCUUGGGCAGCUGUCCUCAGAAAUGUACUGAUCUGCUCCAGGCUGCUCAUUGGAUAAAUGAUCAGGACAAAAGGAAGGGGUCGGGGGUUGUAAAAAUUAUUCUAAAAGUUCAAGAUUUCAUCCUGACCAGUUCCUGGAUAUGAUGUGUCUUUCAGGUGGGAAUGCAAAAUGGUGCAGCCACUCUGGAAAGCAGUCCGGCUGUUCUUCAAAAACCUAAACACAGAGUGACCACGUGACCCAGCCAUUCCGCUCCUACCUGUAUACUGCAUCCAAGAGGAUUGAAAACAGGUGUUCAAACAAAACCUUGUACAUGAAUGUUCACAGCAGCGUUAUUCAUAAUAGCAAAAAAGUGGGAAUAACCCAAAUGUCCAUCACCUGAUGAAUGGGUAAACAAAAUGAGAUAUACCCAUACAAUGGAACAGUAUUCAGCCAUAACAGAAUGGGGAUGAUGGGGUACUGAUCCGUGCUACAACAUGGAUGAAACUUGAAAACAUUAUGCUCAGCGAAAGAGAGCUACACACUGUAUGAUUCCAACUAUAGGAAAUGCCCAGAAUAGGCAAAUCCAUAGAGACAGAAAAUAGAUUAGUGAUUGGCAGGGAAUGAGGAAAUGGGGGAAUGGAUGGUGACCCCUCACAGGUACAGAGUUUCUCCAUAGAGUGAUGAGAAUGUUCUGGAACUAGACAAUGGAGAUGCUUGCACGACAUUGUGGAUGUACUAAAAACCAGUGAAUUGUUUAUUUUAAAACGGUGAAUUAUAUAUUAUAUGAAUUUUACCUCGACAAAAAAAAUGUUGGGGAAAAACAUAUAAAGUUAUGAUUACUGGCUGAGCCACACGAAUUUUGUAACAAAAAAGGAAAAACACAAACUUGGCCCCUGGGGAGGCACGAGAAUCGGAGGAGAGACACGCAUGAUCUUUGUCUUUCCGAACUACCCCUGGGAGCUCCCCGCGCCUCCCCAAAGAAGAAAACAAGAGGAAGGCCCAGUGCCACCUUUCCCAGUGGUUGGACUGCUUUGAGUUCAAACUGCGAGUUUAGCCCCCAUGUCUGUCCCUCCAGCUGCUCACACCUGACAGAGCUGACCAGGAGAGAGCAGGAGGGGGCCCCAGCCCUGAAUAUGUCCAGGUAUUCUGUUAAUGGGAUUUGCUUUAACUGGCUGAAUCCAGGACCCUGGAGGACAUCACUGCAGCCAGUCCUGCAGGUUGGUCUCCCUCUGGGGGCUCCUACUGAUGAUAAUUUUUCUGCAGAGACGCCUUGGCCAAGGGUCGAUGGAGGGGACUGCAGAAGAGAGUCAGCAUGGCAGGCCUGGGGCAGCUGUCUUUAGAAGGGCUGCUUACAAGGUUGGCCGGUGGCUGGCGUCCGGGGCUUUCCCAUCAUUCCCUACUUGCUGAGGGGGUACACAGAGCUGGGACUGUGCAAACGUGUGGUUUACGCUGAGCACUAGUGUUCCUUCUUGGAGUCUGGAAUUUUGGUCCCUGCUGGGCAGAGGGGGCCUAUGUGACUGGUCCCCAGUGAAAACCUGGAUGUUAGCAUUCUAAGGGGCUUCCCUGGGCAGAAACGUCACACACGCCUUGCUGCCUUUCUGUCACACUCUGUGACCCCUCGUGGGAGGGAGAGCGCACAAAAAAUCCUGGAGUGAUUCCUCCAGACCCCACCUGUGUCUCAUUCCCUUCCGAUCUGGCUGUGUAUCCUCAGAACAUUGCCGCAAUAAAUCUUAGCCGAGUUCAGCUGCAUGCUGAGUCCCAUGGGUCCUUCCAGAAAAUCACCGGACGUGGGAGCGGUCUUGGGGACUCCCAACACUGGACCUUGAAUCUUUCAAUUCCAUUCAAAUGUUGCCAAAUGUCCCAGUAAUAUUUUUCUAUAGCAAAAGGAUCCAGGUCAGAAUCAUGUGUGAUGGCUUCUAGUUGUCCUGUCUCCUAGACUCCUCGAUCUGGAACAUUUCUGCCGUCUCUUUUCCACUUUUAUCAUCUUGACAGAUUUGAACAUUAUAGGCCAGUUUUGCUAUGUAGAAUGUCCCUCAAUUUAGUUCUGUCUGGUGGUUCCUUGUAAAUUCAGAUCGUGCAUCUUUGACAAGAAUAUCACAGCAGUGACUUUUUUGUCCUCAUUCGAUCCCAACAGGUGGCCCAUGAUUUCAAUUUGUCCUGUUACUGACGGUGCUCACCUUGAUCACCGACUUAAGGUGGUGUCUGCCGGCCUUCACUGUCAACCUAAUCUUUUCUCUCCCUAAAUAGUGUCUGUGGGAAGCAUCUUUCAAGGGUGGGCUUGCAAGUUUGGCCCUUGGCUGGCCUCUGGAAUCUCGGAUUUGGGGAGUGAUAAGGGAUGAUGAGGAUCGAGUGCCUGGAUUCUGUGAAUAAUACAGUUUAUGCUAUUUUCCUUCUUGAAUUCUGGUACAUGCUAGGAAUUAGGUCCACGCUGUGUUCAGCAUAAGCACGGUGUUCACACAAAUAGUCCAGCCACAGUAAAUCACUCUUAUCAGUUGGGGAAUGGUGAGAACACUUCCAAAAGCCAGGUUUCCAGAUGCCAGCCAAGGGCCAACCUUGAAAGCAGGCCCUCCUAAAGAUAAAAGCCCCAGGCCGGCUAUGUUGACUCUUUUCUUCACAGUCCCCAACUCAGCUCCACGUGAAUGUAGCCACAAUCCAAACUCUCUUUUAGUUGCUCUUCUGAAAUAUGUGGAACCUCCUAUUUCAUCUGUCUUCCUCUUUGAGCGGCCCAACCCUCUCUCCCUCCCCUGACAGGUGGCGACCUUGAAGCCAUCGGAAUCAAUAGCUUGGGUGGGAUACCAGCAUCUUCCAUAUGAUGUUUGCAGCUGGGGUGCCUUCCGCUGUGUCAUGGAGACAUUGUGGGGGAGCUUUUGAGGAGUCUGAAUGACAGGUGCACAGAGUGUUAGCUUUGCCAGCUCUCCCAGGUGUCCAGUGUCUGGAGUCUAGUUAUUUCAGACUACAGCCCACAGGCAGAGCAGAACCCCUUAGCAGAGUUCAGUUCCUUCCAUCUCUGCUUACAAACUCAUCAGUUCUUGUCUGAGCUCAUCUCUCUUAUAAGGAUAUUGCAAAAAGCAAAAAGGGGCAGGAUACACGCCUGGGUUUUCCAACCAAUUCCCUAGGGCCACAAGCUCAGGUGACCAAUGGCCGGCUGAUCUAGUUACCAAAGCAGAUGGUUCUACAAAAUAUUUUCUUGGGACAUAAAAAAAGUCACCAAC
rnacentral:lncRNA from 1 species